rnacentral:rRNA from 1 species
GGUCAGGAUGAACGCUGGCGGCGUGCUUAACACAUGCAAGUCGAACGGAGUACUUACGCUGACAAAGCUUCGGCAGAGUCUUGUAAGUACUUAGUGGCGGACGGGUGAGUAACGCGUGGGUAACCUGCCUUAUACCGGGGGAUAACGUCUGGAAACGGACGCUAAUACCGCAUAAGCGCACGAUGAGGCAUCUUGUUGUGUGAAAAACUCCGGUGGUAUAAGAUGGACCCGCGUCUGAUUAGAUAGUUGGUGAGGUAACGGCCCACCAAGUCAACGAUCAGUAGCCGGCCUGAGAGGGUGAACGGCCACAUUGGGACUGAGACACGGCCCAAACUCCUACGGGAGGCAGCAGUGGGGAAUAUUGCACAAUGGGGGAAACCCUGAUGCAGCGACGCCGCGUGAGUGAAGAAGUAUUUCGGUAUGUAAAGCUCUAUCAGCAGGGAAGAAAGACUCGCAAGAGAGAUGACGGUACCUGACUAAGAAGCCCCGGCUAACUACGUGCCAGCAGCCGC